UACAGGGGGUGCAAACGUUGCUCGGAAUCAUUGGGCGUAAAGCGUGCGCAGGCGGUUAUGUAAGACAGAUGUGAAAUGCCCGGGCUUAACCUGGGAACUGCAUUUGUGACUGCAUGGCUAGAGUGUGUCAGAGGGGGGUAGAAUUCCACGUGUAGCAGUGAAAUGCGUAGAGAUGUGGAGGAAUACCGAUGGCGAAGGCAGCCCCCUGGGAUAACACUGACGCUCAUGCACGAAAGCGUGGGGAGCAAACAGG
rnacentral:rRNA from 1 species